rnacentral:rRNA from 1 species
AACGAACGCUGGCGGCAGGCUUAACACAUGCAAGUCGAGCGCAUCCUUCGGGGUGAGCGGCGGACGGGUGAGUAACGCGUGGGAACGUGCCCUCUUCUACGGAAUAGCCCAGGGAAACUUGGAUUAAUGCCGUAUACGCCCUUCGGGGGAAAGAUUUAUCGGAGGAGGAUCGGCCCGCGUUGGAUUAGGUAGUUGGUGAGGUAACGGCUCACCAAGCCGACGAUCCAUAGCUGGUUUGAGAGGAUGAUCAGCCACACUGGGACUGAGACACGGCCCAGACUCCUACGGGAGGCAGCAGUGGGGAAUCUUGGACAAUGGGGGAAACCCUGAUCCAGCCAUGCCGCGUGAUCGAUGAAGGCCUUAGGGUUGUAAAGAUCUUUCAGCUGGGAAGAUAAUGACUGUACCAGCAGAAGAAGCCCCGGCUAACUCCGUGCCAGCCGCCGCCGUAACAC